UCCCUUGUGGCUCAGCGGUUAAAGUAUCUGCCUCCUAUGCGGGAGACUUGGGUUCGAUCCCUGGCUCGGGAA
rfam:Ovis aries breed Texel chromosome 4, whole genome shotgun sequence.